AUACGUAGGGUGCGAGCGUUGUCCGGAAUUACUGGGCGUAAAGAGCUCGUAGGUGGUUUGUCGCGUCGUCUGUGAAAUUCCGGGGCUUAACUCCGGGCGUGCAGGCGAUACGGGCAUAACUUGAGUACUGUAGGGGAGACUGGAAUUCCUGGUGUAGCGGUGAAAUGCGCAGAUAUCAGGAGGAACACAGGUGGCGAAGGGGGGUCUCUGGGCAUUAACUGACGCUGAGGAGCGAAAGCAGGGGGAGCGAACAGGAUUAGAUACCCUGGUAGUCCAUGCCGUAAACGGUGGGCGCUAGGUGUAGGGGUCUUCCACGACUUCUGUGCCGUAGCUAACGCAUUAAGCGCCCCGCCUGGGGAGUACGGCCGCAAGGCUAAAACUCAAAGGAAUUGACGGGG
rnacentral:rRNA from 1 species